rnacentral:misc_RNA from 1 species
AUACCAACUCCUCUGUAUAGAGGGUCUUGGGCUUCGCCUCCGGGCGGGCCUUAAAAUCAGUGGCGGUGCCUGUAGGCUCUACGCGUAGUAAUACUCCUCGCGAUAGAUCCCUAUGGGUAUCUUGCCAGCAACCCCCAACUUCUUA